AUCUGCCUCUUGUUUCUUCUUUUAUUUUAUUUUAUUUUUGUUUCUGUUACC
rnacentral:ribozyme from 1 species